AUUGAACGCUGGCGGCAUGCCUUACACAUGCAAGUCGAACGGCAGCGGACCUUCGGGUGCCGGCGAGUGGCGAACGGGUGAGUAAUAUAUCGGAACGUACCUUUCAGUGGGGGAUAACGUAGCGAAAGUUACGCUAAUACCGCAUAUUCUGUGAGCAGGAAAGCAGGGGAUCGCAAGACCUUGCGCUGAUUGAGCGGCCGAUAUCAGAUUAGCUAGUUGGUGAGGUAAAGGCUCACCAAGGCGACGAUCUGUAGCGGGUCUGAGAGGAUGAUCCGCCACACUGGAACUGAGACACGGUCCAGACUCCUACGGGAGGCAGCAGUGGGGAAUUUUGGACAAUGGGCGAAAGCCUGAUCCAGCAAUGCCGCGUGUGUGAAGAAGGCCUGAGGGUUGUAAAGCACUUUCAAUCGUGAAGAAAAGUUGCAGGCUAAUACCCUGUGACCUUGACGUUAACGAUACAAGAAGCACCGGCUAACUCCGU
rnacentral:rRNA from 1 species